AUUUCUAUCCUUUUUACGAUAGAUAGGGGCAAACUAUGAAAUAAAACAAAAAUCGAAAUACAAAUUAAAAAACUCAAUAAAAAAAACUCUUGAAUUGUGUCUUUUUUUUAACUAGCAAAAUAUGUUGGUAGAAAAUUGGAUUUCGAAGCUUCUUAUCAAGUGUAAGAAAACACUUUUAUUUAUAAUUAAUUCUUAGAAGUUUUUAUCGUUUGAGCAUUUGAGAGUCUCUUGCUUGUAUGCUUGAACAUUUAUAAUCAGUUGUGAUUAUAGUGAAAAUUCCUUGAAAAUUCAAGGGCAUUAGACUACUUGUGGAUUGUAAAAAGAACCAGCAAAAUUAUUUUGCUCGUGUGUACCAUAUUAAGGCAGACAAUUUUGUAUUAGCGUUUAAAACUUUUUUUUAUCCCCAAAAAAACAUAUUUUACAUAUAUCAUAAACAUUUCCUAAAUAUAGAAAGCAUUUGAGCGGUGAGAAACAUUUUGCUAGGAACAAGUGGAUUGAAAUAACCAUGACCUCUACUUAUGAUAAGAUAAAUUUUGUAAGAAAGAAAAAAGAAAGAAUAUAAGAGAAUAAUUUAUUCUUUAAUGCAUGAUUUGUUAGACAUGACAACAAAACUCAUACAUGCGGGUAUCCGUCCGAACCAAACAUAAAUUGACAAGUUUUCCCCGUUUGACUGAGUUUGGAUAUGAGUUUGAGUUUUCCUCGAUUUUAAAACAUGGGUAUGGGACGGAUAACAGGGAUAUAAGUACCCACCCCGAACCCAUACAAAAACCCGUUCCGAAUGUAUAAAUCAAUUUAUUAUCCAUUUUAUAUAAAUAGAAACUCAAACCCUAAAUCGUUCCUCUCACACAAUCAUAGUCUCAAUUUCUCAGAUGACACUCACUUCUCAAAGUUUUUAUCUCUUCUCGUUCCAUACUCUUACUCUCGGUCUUUCUCUUCCCUGUCACCAUAGCCAUCAAUUGUCAUAAUCUCUUUGUAGGAUAAUGAAUAAACAAUAUUUCUUUUUUUAUUAAAAAAUAUUGUCCACUACAGAGAGGGGGAUGGGGCGAGGAUACCUGAACCAGUCGGGGAUGGGAUGAGAUUCGAUUUCUCAUCCCUGUUAAAUAUGGGUAGGGUAGCUAGUAAGUAUAUGAGAGUAGGGUAUAGGGAUGGAGAAGGUAAAACUUGUCCCCACCCUGCCCAUUGUAAUGCCUAGGCUUUAUGUAGUAAUGUUUUAAGUAAUUUUAGGCUAUUUUGAUGCUGAAAAGGAUAGGAAAAUCAAUUACCAAGGAAUUUAGCAUCGUGCCUCAAUUCUAAAGCAUAAAUCAACAUUUCAAUUCACAUAAUUUUGUGGCGGGAGAGAAGUGCAUCAUGAAACGAUUUGAAGGAGUGUCAAAAUAAAAUUUGAAUUCUGAAACUAAUCGUGACACAAUAUUGCUACAUUGUGGCACAAUGUUACAUUGAUGUUUCCUAACAUAAAAGACAAGUGAAGUAUCACGCCACGAUCUAUGAGUAUCAUGACACAAUUUAUAAAUGUAACUUUAGAUUGGUACGGUUCGGUUUUGAAAUUAAACUAAACAAGGUCUAAUACGUUUUCCAUUUGGUUCAGUUGAAUUUUUUGUUUCGUCAAUUUUGCUUAAACCAUUUACACCCCUAAUAGGAGGAGUUAUCAUAACAUGAAUGUCAAUUUUUUUAAAGAGAAGCAAAAAUUAUUAUCAUAUAAAAAAUGCUAACAUUGUAGCCAUAAGUGCCAUAACAAUGUUUUAUUUCUCAAAAUUGUGUUUACCACCAUACUUUUUACCUAUACUCUUGAUAGUGUGAUAAGUCGUAAUUUAGAUGGUUUUUAAGUGUUUAUUUUAAUAGAAUUCUGUUUGUUUAAAAAAAAAAUUAGAACUAUUUUACUGCAAAUUUGUUCGUUUUAUUUUCAGAAUCACAAAUGAUAGAUGAUCAAGUCUUUGAGCAAAAGAAUGGAUUAAGAUGCAUGAUUGAAGCUUGUUUGAGAAGAAAGCUAAAAAGAGGAAAUUUUGCGCGAUCCCAACCUCCAAAAUGUUGCUGAUUUGGUGCACAAUUAUGUGCUGAUUUGGUCCAUAUUUUUGUGCUGAUUUGGUGCAUAUUUAUGUGCUGAUUUAGUGCAAAUUUAUGUUUGGAUUUGGGCCGUUUUUAUGACCAUUUUAGUGCCUUAUAAUGUGGAACUAUUUCCUUUUCUAGAGGAUGGCUUUUGCUAUUUAUAUAGAGAGAGCAAUCAGACUUCUAAAUCAUCUUUAAAUCUUGGAAUAUUUGUGACAGUUGUUUUUCAUUGAAUCAAAUUGAUCAAAGCUUUAUUUUCUUGUUCUUUAA
rnacentral:lncRNA from 1 species